AGCAGCCGCGGUAAUUCCAGCUCCAAUAGCGUAUAUUAAAGUUGUUGCAGUUAAAAAGCUCGUAGUUGAAUUUCGGGGUUAGUAGGUUGGUCGUGCCACUGGUACGUACUGGUCUCACUGAUUCCUCCUUCCUGAUGAACUGUAAUGCCAUUAAUUUGGUGUUGCAGGGAAACUGGACUGUUACUUUGAAAAAAUUAGAGUGUUUAAAGCAAGCUAACGCUUGAAUACAUUAGCAUGGAAUAAUGAAAUAGGACGUUCGAUCCUAUUUUGUUGGUUUCUAGGAUUGACGUAAUGAUUAAUAGGGAUAGUUGGGGGCAUUAGUAUUCAAUUGUCAGAGGCGAAAUUCUUGGAUUUAUUGAAGACUAACUACUGCGAAAGCAUUUGCCAAGGAUGUUUUCAUUAAUCAAGAACGAAAGUUAGGGGAUCGAAGACGGUCAGAUACCGUCGUAGUCUUAACCAUAAACUAUGCCGACUAGGGAUCGGAUGAUGUUAAUUUUUUAAUGACUCAUUCGGCGCCUUA
rnacentral:rRNA from 1 species